rnacentral:rRNA from 1 species
UCCUGGCUCAGGAUGAACGCUGGCGGCGUGCCUAAUACAUGCAAGUCGAGCGAACGGACGAGAAGCUUGCUUCUCUGAUGUUAGCGGCGGACGGGGGAGUAACACGUGGAUAACCUACCUAUAAGACUGGGAUAACUUCGGGAAACCGGAGCUAAUACCGGAUAAUAUUUUGAACCGCAUGGUUCAAAAGUGAAAGACGGUCUUGCUGUCACUUAUAGAUGGAUCCGCGCUGCAUUAGCUAGUUGGUAAGGUAACGGCUUACCAAGGCAACGAUGCAUAGCCGACCUGAGAGGGUGAUCGGCCACACUGGAACUGAGACACGGUCCAGACUCCUACGGGAGGCAGCAGUAGGGAAUCUUCCGCAAUGGGCGAAAGCCUGACGGAGCAACGCCGCGUGAGUGAUGAAGGUCUUCGGAUCGUAAAACUCUGUUAUUAGGGAAGAACAUAUGUGUAAGUAACUGUGCACAUCUUGACGGUACCUAAUCAGAAAGCCACGGCUAACUACGUGCCAGCAGCCGCGGUAAUACGUAGGUGGCAAGCGUUAUCCGGAAUUAUUGGGCGUAAAGCGCGCGUAGGCGGUUUUUUAAGUCUGAUGUGAAAGCCCACGGCUCAACCGUGGAGGGUCAUUGGAAACUGGAAAACUUGAGUGCAGAAGAGGAAAGUGGAAUUCCAUGUGUAGCGGUGAAAUGCGCAGAGAUAUGGAGGAACACCAGUGGCGAAGGCGACUUUCUGGUCUGUAACUGACGCUGAUGUGCGAAAGCGUGGGGAUCAAACAGGAUUAGAUACCCUGGUAGUCCACGCCGUAAACGAUGAGUGCUAAGUGUUAGGGGGUUUCCGCCCCUUAGUGCUGCAGCUAACGCAUUAAGCACUCCGCCUGGGGAGUACGACCGCAAGGUUGAAACUCAAAGGAAUUGACGGGGACCCGCACAAGCGGUGGAGCAUGUGGUUUAAUUCGAAGCAACGCGAAGAACCUUACCAAAUCUUGACAUCCUUUGACAACUCUAGAGAUAGAGCCUUCCCCUUCGGGGGACAAAGUGACAGGUGGUGCAUGGUUGUCGUCAGCUCGUGUCGUGAGAUGUUGGGUUAAGUCCCGCAACGAGCGCAACCCUUAAGCUUAGUUGCCAUCAUUAAGUUGGGCACUCUAAGUUGACUGCCGGUGACAAACCGGAGGAAGGUGGGGAUGACGUCAAAUCAUCAUGCCCCUUAUGAUUUGGGCUACACACGUGCUACAAUGGACAAUACAAAGGGCAGCGAAACCGCGAGGUCAAGCAAAUCCCAUAAAGUUGUUCUCAGUUCGGAUUGUAGUCUGCAACUCGACUACAUGAAGCUGGAAUCGCUAGUAAUCGUAGAUCAGCAUGCUACGGUGAAUACGUUCCCGGGUCUUGUACACACCGCCCGUCACACCACGAGAGUUUGUAACACCCGAAGCCGGUGGAGUAACCUUUUAGGAGCUAGCCGUCGAAGGUGGGACAAAUGAUUGGGGUGAAGUCGUAACAAGGUAGCCGUAUCGGAAGGUGCGGCUGGAUCACCU